rnacentral:rRNA from 1 species
GUGUCAGCCGCCGCGGUAAUACGUAGGUGGCGAGCGUUGUCCGGAUUUACUGGGCGUAAAGAGCGCGCAGGCGGUCGUUCAAGUCGGAUGUGAAAGCCCCCGGCUCAACUGGGGAGGGUCAUUCGAUACUGAUCGACUCGAAGGCAGGAGAGGGAAGCGGAAUUCCCGGUGUAGUGGUGAAAUGCGUAGAUAUCGGGAGGAACACCAGUGGCGAAGGCGGCUUCCUGGCCUGUUCUUGACGCUGAGGCGCGAAAGCUAGGGGAGCAAACGGGAUUAGAUACCCUUGUAGUCC